UACAGAGGUCUCAAGCGUUGUUCGGAUUCACUGGGCGUAAAGGGUGCGUAGGUGGUAAGGUAAGUUUGAUGUGAAAUCUCCGGGCUCAACCCUGGAAAGCCGGUGGAAACUGUCGAGCUAGAGUCCGGAAGAGGCGAGUGGAAUUCCUGGUGUAGCGGUGAAAUGCGCAGAUAUCAGGAGGAACACCAAUGGCGAAGGCAGCUCGCUGGGACGGUACUGACGCUGAGACGCGAAAGCGUGGGGAGCAAACAGG
rnacentral:rRNA from 1 species